UGCGAAAUAGAGCAGUUUUACGGAAACUCGCAAGGCUCAUAACCUUGAAAUCACA
rnacentral:tRNA from 1 species